UUUAAAUUGAGAGUUUGAUCCUGGCUCAGGAUGAACGCUGGUGGCGUGCCUAAUACAUGCAAGUCGUACGCUAGCCGCUGAAUUGAUCCUUCGGGUGAAGUGAGGCAAUGACUAGAGUGGCGAACUGGUGAGUAACACGUAAGAAACCUGCCCUUUAGUGGGGGAUAACAUUUGGAAACAGAUGCUAAUACCGCGUAACAACAAAUCACACAUGUGAUCUGUUUGAAAGGUCCUUUUGGAUCGCU
rnacentral:rRNA from 1 species